UCAGCGGGUGUGGCAAGUGGAGUUGUGCACUCAUUCCUCGACGACGGCGAUGGAUGGAGAUGAUGAUAAGACAAGACCCGUAUCACACCAUCGCGGCAGCCAGUCAACAUCGACACGUUGAUCCGGUCCAUUCUCGGACCAGAAAAUGGUUAAGCCGCCUCUCAGUAUGCGUGUCCUCCUGAUCAAUCAACCCUCGGAUCGGAAUUCAUACAAGGAAGUUGAGCUUUUCCGUGCGCAAGCACAGCACACAUAUACUGUAACCAAUGUGUUCGAGACUUUGAGUAACAAAAAUAUUGAGUUGAUUGCCUAGUGUGAAAUAAUGCAGAGUACUGUACUUUGUACAUACACGGAAAUGCAAUUUGGCUCCCGGGGC
rnacentral:lncRNA from 1 species